rnacentral:rRNA from 1 species
CACGUAGGGGGCAAGCGUUGUCCGGAUUUAUUGGGCGUAAAGAGCUCGUAGGUGGCUGAGUAAGUCGGAUGUUAAAUCCCCAGGCUCAACCUGGGACACCACCCGAUACUGCUCUGGCUAGAGUCCGGUAGGGGAGCGUGGAAUUCCUGGUGUAGCGGUGAAAUGCGCAGAUAUCAGGAGGAACACCUGCGGUGUAGACGGCUUACUAGGACGGUAACUGACGCUGAGGCACGAAAGCGUGGGUGGCAAACAGG